UGGUUUGAAUUAAAACUAGAGACUGAUAUUGUUAAAUUUACAAAAAUACCCUUAACUUCUGUAUGAAACCCUAAUCCCAAACCUAAAUUCAAUUUUUCAGAAAUGUCGCCCUAACCCACUCCAGACCCCUUCUCGUCUCCUCUCCCCAGAUCCUCCGGUCUUUCCCGUCGCCGGCAGAAACACCGAGGAAUACCGAGCGACGACAGCGCGUUGGUCUCCAGCAGUUCACAAUCGCGUCUUGAAGCCUCCGACGGUCCUGUCGUUGCUGCGGUUUGCGUGCUUCUGGGUUUGCGCUACCACCAUCGCCACCGUCUCGGAGUUGUGUCUCUUGUCUCGGGUGUUUGUCUCUCAACGGACCUGUCUUCAAAUCUUGGAGUAUUUAUUUGCAUCUAAUAUUCUGCCAUACAUGGAAGCCUAGGAGUCCAUAUAUCGAAGGUACGAUUCUUAUGUGCUUAUUUGCAUAAUGAAGGAACGAAGCCUAGUGUGUUUGAACCUACCGUAUUUGAGUGUUCGAAUCUCUUUUUCUUUUUUCCCAAGUUCAAAAUUACUUAUAAUUUUAAAAUUAUUUUAGAAAAAUAAAAUGGUUAUUUUCUUAAAACUAUCUCUACUACUAGCAUGUCUUUAGACUACCCUCCUGUGAGAAAUGAAAAAUCUGUGAUAAAUAAGAUAAUGUUUUCUUGAAAAGGAAAAGUUAAUGUGAGUGUUUAAAAGUUUUUGAAUAAUUUUUCUAAUCAAGAUCAGUAAUUCAUCACACAUAGUUAAGCUGUUAUAGUUAUUUGGAAAUAGUAUAGUGUUUCUAAACAUGAUUCGAGUUGUAUUUUCGUAAAUAGAAAUUCUUGCACAUGAUUUAAUUUUCAUAUAGGUUCUAUCGCUGAAACUAGAUGAUUGGAUAGACGAACAAGUUGAUGUAUAAUUAUAUAGACUCUAACCUUCUUCAAUUCCCUGGUGUAUAUCUAUGAAGUAGAUAUAAUUCUGUUGCGCUCCCUUUAAUUCUUGGGCUGAAAUUGAGAAGUAAACCAAGAAAUGGCAUCACAAACAAUUCCACUUAUAUAUAUGAGUUUCAAAAAAUGUGAAAUGAAAAUCACAUCCUUAUUAUUAAUCACAUUUAUGUAUUAAAUAUCAAAGCAUGUACGGAAGAAAUUACAUGGUAACAGGGUGCAUUUGAAAUUUUGUGCUACUUUUUCAUGUAUUAAAAAUUUAUGCUACGUUUUU